CUACUGGGGACAGGGUUGGGGGCACUGGGGUCCAAACUGGUUAGUGCGUCAAUCUGAAAAAAAAAGGCCCUGCACCUGCCAGGGCCCUUCAGAUGAGUAGCAAACCCUCCCUGACAGCUGACGAGCCCCAGCCUGCCUGCUUCUUCCCUGAUGGCUGCCAAUGGGACAAAGUGCUUCAUCAGGGGGAUUCUUCGCACGAGUGGGGAGCCCUCUGAGUCAAGGCUCUCUGAGCUCCUCCAUGGCCAGCCCAGCCAAGGACACUCUUGGCCUCUCCGCGUCUUCCCCCAGAAUCGCGCUGCAGUUGCGCAUGGCCACCAGUGUGAGGCGAGCUGCUUUCAUCCCACCCGAAGGGCCGAACAGGACCUCUUAGCCCUGAGGUCAAAGGGAGCUGAGCUGGAGCCCAGCCAAACUCCCACGGGCCGGGCUGGCCCGUCAACUUCACUGCGCAGCUUCACGGAUAGGUGGCGCUGUGGCCAUGAAGCUACCCAGCCCCGGGUGCAGGGUGUGGGCACACAGGGAUGCGCCGCUUGGACUGGACAGAAUCACAGAAUCCUGGAAUCUCAGGGUUGGAAGGGACCUCAGGAGGUCAUCUAGUCCAACCCCCUGCUCAAAGCAGGGCCGACCCCCAAUUUUUGCCCCAGAUCCCUAAAUGGCCCCCUCAGGGAUUGAACUCGCAACCCUGGGUUUAGCAGGCCCAUGCUCCAACCACUGAGCUCCCCCCCGCCACAGCUGGGGUUGGCAGCGGUCUUUUCCCUGCUCCCAGUGCUGAGUUGGGGCCCCAGGGCCGAUUCAAAGCAUUCUCGGUCCCCGGUGAAGUGCAGUGAAUCGGGGGGGGGCUGCAGCUGGCCUGGCCCGUUUCUCCCCCGCAGUCCGAGCGCGCCCCUGGGUUGCUCCUGGGCGCGGGGACGGUCCGGCCCAUCCCGCUGAGGAAGGGUGUCGGCUGCUUUCGCGACGAAGCGACACGCCCGCCCGGCGCCCCCGGCCCGGCGCCCGCGCUCCCGGGACAGCGGCUGCCGCGGCUCUGCCGGCCUGGAGCGUUGAGCCCCCUUCAGCAAACAGGGUCGGCGCUUGGGAGCCGGUGACGGAGCCCCGUGCUGGAACGGCUCUGGCUCCCUGGAGAGGGACGGGGAAAUGAAGAGGAAGGAACUCAGCGGUCCUUCUCUUGGCAGCCACUCCAUUGCUGUAGCUUGAGUUGUAUGGAAGUGGAGACUGGGACAUACACUCUCCUUGGACACAACAUAUCUGCUUCAUGCCAGCUCAGGGCCAUUAUGGAACAGCUGACGCUUCUUAUCUGCUCCUGUUCUGGAUGAAGUGAAGCUGUAACUCACGAAAGCUCAUGCUCAAAUAAAUUGGUUAGUCUCUAAGGUGCCACAAGUACUCCUUUUCUUUUUGUUCUGGAUGUGCGGGUUAUGAACAGGACGGGGUGCCAGGUCUGGCUCUUCGUGCACCAGGGUGGCAUUUCCCAUCAGUUAAAUAUCCCAGGGUGGCUGGGAGCGGUGCUCAGCAGGGCUCGCACAGCCACGCCCCAGGGUUAUCAUCCCCCAAGAAGGGUGUCCCGGAGUUGGAAGACAAAGGGGAGAACAAAGAGAGCGAACCAGACCUGGAGUCCAUCGCAGCUUGGAUGGCCCAUCAUGGCACUGGUUUGACCAGGCUGGACUGUGGCUGAACUUCUGCCUCUUUCUGCUAACCCAAGGGCCAUCAGAUUCUCUGGCUAGGUGACUGAUAAAUUGUUCCCAUAUUUUGCAAAAGCUUCCUGUGUUGCUGUAAAUACUCCCUGAGAAUAUAUCACCCCCUGAAGGGGGACCGUACAUGUCUCCCGCAGGGGUCUGGCUUGGCUGGAUUCGCUGCAGGGAAUGCUGGUGCUCAAGGCCCAGUCUUGGAGGCCACCAGCCUGCCCUGGUGGAACCAUAGGGCUAGAGGGGUCACUCUCAGGAGACUGGUGACAGACUGGGGCAUAGACCAGACCCUGUGACUCUGUGACAACAGAUAUGGCGGGCGGAACCCAGAUCGUGUUGCUGGGAUCCUUCUGCACUGUCCCUCUUAGACAGGUGUCAGGGUAGGGGGCCAAGGUAGAUGGGGCUGCAGGAACGGUCAUGGUCGAGCAAAGGAGGAAAUGUGACUGGGGCGAGGCAGGAAGGGCUGUGUAGGCUGGAAGAGGAUCUGGCCAAGCAGCUGGCCAUCCAGAUCUCAGGUAAUUUCUAGGUGAAUAAACUAAAUCAAAACUGAGCUAGUUUCAGGGGACACUGGUCCCAGAGACCAGCUCUCUCAUAAAAUCCCCAUCCCCACCAAUGGACUGGAAAGACCAUGGUACUCAUACACCACAGUGACUGAAUGCACUCCUGUAUUCACACUCUACACACUAUUGCAAUAAUCAUUGUACCAAAUAUGCUUCGUACAUCAUCAUCUGAAAACUAUCAACCCACUGGUCAAUAAUAUCAUGGUGAAAGUGCAUAGCAACAUUGUGUGUAAAGUUAUGAAAUCCCCCCUGUAUAAUGUUAAAGGGACAUGUUCAAACUCAUGUAGCCCUGAUUAGGCACAACUGGUCAAGCAGGUCUCAAACAAAGGGCUUUGUGGUUCUCUCAACUGCCAUACAAAUUGUAAACAGAGUCCUGAGACAGCGAGAGAGAAAAGAAAGGAGACAAAGAAAAUCUGUACCGCGGCACACACCGGUGAAAGAAAACGGCAGGAAGCAUCUCUCCUCACUAGACACCAUGGCUCCUGCUCAGCAGGAUAGAACUGUAUGAUGGGGCUGAACUAUAAAAGUGAGCGGCAAACAUGCCAAGGGAUCACUCUCCCUGUCCACCUCCCUCUUUGCACCGACCACAAAAGAAACAGCUAUUGGACUUUGGGGGAGGGGCCCUGGCCUAAAAAGUGUGGCCCAUACUUUCAGUCAAGUAUAGUUUGCUAAGUUAGGCACUGGGAAGUGUUCUAUCUUUAUUUUUCUUGUAACCAUUUCUGACUUUUAGGCCUCAUUCCUUGUACUCACUUAAAAUCCUUUAUUUUAUGAAUAAACUUCUUUUAUUGUUUAA